CUCUGUUUGUUUACCAAGAAAAUGAAUGAAAAAAAUAUCAUGCUUAUGUGGAAGCUUGGUGGUUUAUGUCUAUAUAUAUGCCUUUGAUUUUAGAAAGAGCAACAAUUUUACCCUAGAAAAAAAUUCAAGGAAAAGUAAAGAGGAACAAAUAUUAAACGAGAAUUAAAACUUUGAAUCGUUUGUUAUUGAAGAGUCCAUCUCUGAUUGUAGCAUUCUAUUGGAAUAAACGUGUUCUUGUUGUGAAUCUUGUAGUUUCAGUAGAAUGUGGAAUCUUGGGUACAAGGAUACCAAUCAAAAAAACCUGGGAAGGCUUCAAGGCUAUCAUAGAAUACCUCACAAAGAUUCAGGCCUUGACUCAUUUUUGGGGUUAUAAUAUGUAUUUCUUUCAAAGAGAGCAUUUAUGAGUCAGUGCUCUUCAAGACCUAUACAGGUCCCUGAACGACCCACCAAUGCUAAAAGGGUGGAGAGUCAUGAACAGGAGUGUCAUGUUCUGAUUCAUCUGUUAUACACCUGUAAUCCACUUAGCUAACCUAUUUUUUCUACUAACAAUGCCACAUUGCCAUAGAAGCCCAAAACCUUACCCUUCUAUGGUCUCUACUAAUUUUACGCAGUAAAAUUCAAGGACUAAACCUCACUGGGUGGAUUGGAGGCCAGCUUAAUAACCUGCAUCAUUUGAAGCACCUGUAACUGAAACUGCCUUGUUAUAUUUAGCUCUUGUUGAAAUAGUACCUGUACUGUUUAUUUAAUUCUUUAUUCUGGUUUCUUCUUUAGGGAAGUCAGCUUCAAUAACAUUCAGGGUGAAACUGUUUAGUAACAGGAAGGGCAACUUUUAUUUGUUUAUAUAGUAACAUUCUGGUUUCUUCUUUAUUCUGUCUUAGGCGUUAUAUUUGUUUAUAUAGUAACAGGAAGGGCAACUGUUUCUUUUUUCCAGGUUAAACCAUCAAAUUGGUCUUCUUUCUUGUAGUAGUUCAUUUGAAGAGUUCAUUGCGCAAUUUAAGUUUUAAGCAUUGGGCUGUUAAAAAACUAGAUAUGCUACGCCAUUUACUAUUUACACAGAAGAGGAAUUGGGUAUUGAUAAGUCUGAUGCUGGAAAUACCCAGUUAUGUCCAUUUGAUUGUUCUUGUUGUUUUUGAGGAUACAUGCAAAAAUCUGUUGGGUGUAGUUGCUUCCUUUGAUCCAGUGAAUCAGAUUUUCAUGUAGUCUUGUAACUUUUCAUUUUCUGUUUUGUUGUUAUAAUUUGAGGGUAUUGGAGCACAGCUUUCUUU